AUGCAAGUCGAACGGUAACAGGCCUUCGGGUGCUGACGAGUGGCGGACGGGUGAGUAAUGCGUAGGAAUCUGCCUUGUUGUGGGGGAUAACUCGGGGAAACUCGAGCUAAUACCGCAUACGCUCUACGGAGGAAAGCGGGGGACUUUCGGGCCUCGCGCAAUAAGAUGAGCCUACGUCGGAUUAGCUAGUUGGUGGGGUAAAGGCCCACCAAGGCGACGAUCCGUAGCUGGUCUGAGAGGACGAUCAGCCACACUGGGACUGAGACACGGCCCAGACUCCUACGGGAGGCAGCAGUGGGGAAUAUUGGACAAUGGGCGCAAGCCUGAUCCAGCAAUGCCGCGUGUGUGAAGAAGGCCU
rnacentral:rRNA from 1 species